GUAGGGAAUCUUCCACAUGGACGCAAGUCUGAUGGAGCAACGCCGCGUGAGUGAAGAAGGUCUUCGGAUCGUAAACUCUGUUGUUAGAGAAGAACACGAGUGAGAGUAACUGUUCAUUCGAUGACGGUAUCUAACCAGCAAGUCACGGCUAACUACGUGCCAG
rnacentral:rRNA from 1 species